CCAACAUCUUCACCAUUUAUUUUCUUAUCAUUCUGGUUAUACUGCUGCUGGAGAUGAUCCACAGUGCUAACGGCAUCAUUUUUUGGCCAUCCGGGUCAACCCGAUUGGCCAAGUUAACGGUGAACAACUAACAAGGACUAUGAUAAAAGAUUUAAAACUCCUGCAGUAAACAGAGAAAUUCUUUAUUUUCAAGUAGAGAUUAAAAAAAACAAUUAAUUC
rnacentral:lncRNA from 1 species